UGAAAACCUGAAAAGCAGGAUCAAUGG
rnacentral:piRNA from 1 species